rnacentral:rRNA from 1 species
GAGUUUGAUCUUGGCUCAGAGCGAACGUUAGCGGCACGCCUAACACAUGCAAGUCGCACGAGAAAGGGAGCAAUCCUGAGUAGAGUGGCGCACGGGUGCGUAACACGUAGAUAACCUGCCCUUUGGAGGGGGAUAACGUUCCGAAAGGAGCGCUAAUACCGCAUAACGCCUUUUCCGGUUUGCCGGAGAUUGACAAAGGUAGGGACCCGCAAGGGCCUAUCGCCAGAGGAGGGGUCUGCGGCCCAUCAGCUAGUUGGGGAGGUAAUGGCUCACCAAGGCAGAGACGGGUAGCUGGUCUGAGAGGAUGAUCAGCCACACUGGUACUGGAACACGGACCAGACUCCUACGGGAGGCAGCAGUGGGGAAUCUUGGUCAAUGGGCGCAAGCCUGAACCAGCGAUGCCGCGUGAGUGAUGAAGGCCUC